rnacentral:rRNA from 1 species
GACGGAGGAUGCAAGUGUUAUCCGGAAUCACUGGGCGUAAAGCGUCUGUAGGUGGUCAAAUAAGUCAACUGUUAAAUCUUGAGGCUCAACCUCAAAAUCGCAGUCGAAACUAUUAGACUAGAGUAUAGUAGGGGUAAAGGGAAUUUCCAGUGGAGCGGUGAAAUGAGUAGAGAUUGGAAAGAACACCGAUGGCGCAGGCACUCUACUGGGCUAUUACUAACACUGUGACCCCAUAUCUAGAGUACCGAAUGUG